CGCUCUCAGUGUGUUGUCAGGGCUGACGUGAGCCCUGAUUUCUCGGAACCGCUGUCCUCUGUCUUGUGGAAGGAGCACAGAAGAGCGGACGGCCCUCUGUGCAGCCCGGGCCCCUGACCUUUGGAGUCACGUGUGUUUCACAGAUCGCGUUCUCGGGACGUUUUCGGUGUUUUACUUCUAGGCCUUUCGACAGGUUUACAAGGAAGGGGCGGCUGCGGUAAUAGCGCCACAGAAGUCUCUGCUGGUUAAUUCCGUCCUUCCUGCAGAAACGGGUGCUGUGCACGUGUAGCUCGCCGGGCGUCGUGUGAGCGCUCGAGGGCUGCAAAGAAGAGCAAGGGCGCCGUCCCUCACGGGGCUGCGGUCUCGGAGGAGCAGCGCUGACAGGGACCUGAGCGAAAGACGGAACGCGGGUCGCGCUCAAGAGGGGAGAGAAGGGCGAGGGGAGCUCCGAGGAGGAGACGUUACUCCAUGCAGGGAGGGGCUGGGGUCAAGGAAACCACGUAAUGAUCGUUAACGCCUGCUGGUGAUCAAGAAUUAGAAACAGUGUAAAAAUUUAUCAGAUCCCUUCAUUCUUUUAAAAUUACCUGCGAAGUUCUUCUCAUGUUCAGAAGACAGCUUUUUACCGUGUUACAAGUAUUGUUCGGGGUGUGGAGAGAUAAAAAAUGAAUAUGAAGAUAUGAAAUCAUCUAUAGAUGGAAUUAUGUCCAUGUUUUAGCUGGACCUUAUCAAUAUUUGAAGUUAUUCUCCCUAAAUUCUAAUCCAGAAGACAAACUCUGGGAUCAUCUAUGAUUUUAAGAGACAAGAAAAUAUACUCCAAAUGUAAAAAAUUAAGAAAGUUAAAGCAACAAGAACAUACACUACACAGUGGCGAUAGGCAAAAUUCCAGCCAAUGUGUGCAUUUAGGAGCAAGAGGAGGAGAUGGAUGUGGGGAGGUGUCCACUUCCUGCUCACGUCAGAAGCACUGGGGAGCUUAGGUCUAAAGCUCUUCUGGGAGAGA
rnacentral:lncRNA from 1 species